GUAGGUGAACCUGCGGAAGGAUCAUUAGUACCACAACCCCAAAGCCCUGGCGCCCCUCUCUCUCUCGAGAGCGAGGGCGCUUGGCAUCCACCCACCCUUGUGAACUGUCGCCACCCAAGCCCGGGUGCGCUGCGCGCUUCGGCGCGGGCGCGCCCGCGUGCACCCGCACACGCAUCACGCAUGCGCGUGCGUGCCUGCACCAACCCACAACACCACAUGAACCUAACACAACACACAACACAACCACAACACAAAGAAAGAAACCAAGAACAACUUUUAACGGUGGAUCUCUUGGCUCGU
rnacentral:misc_RNA from 1 species